CAGCCGCCACGGUAAUACGUAGGUCCCGAGCGUUGUCCGGAUUUAUUGGGCGUAAAGCGGGCGCAGGCGGUUAGAUAAGUCUGAAGUUAAAGGCUGUGGCUUAACCAUAGUACGCUUUGGAAACUGUUUAACUUGAGUGCAAGAGGGGAGAGUGGAAUUCCAUGUGUAGCGGUGAAAUGCGUAGAUAUAUGGAGGAACACCGGUGGCGAAAGCGGCUCUCUGGCUUGUAACUGACGCUGAGGCUCGAAAGCGUGGGGAGCAAACAGGAUUAGAUACCCCAGUAGUCCCUGUCUCUUAUACA
rnacentral:rRNA from 1 species